UACGUAGGGUGCGAGCGUUGUCCGGAAUCAUUGGGCGUAAAGCGCGUGUAGGCGGUUCGGUAAGUCUGCUGUGAAAGUCCAGGGCUCAACCCUGGGAUGCCGGUGGAUACUGUCGGACUAGAGUACGGAAGAGGCGAGUGGAAUUCCCGGUGUAGCGGUGAAAUGCGCAGAUAUCGGGAGGAACACCAAUUGCGAAGGCAGCUCGCUGGGACGUCACUGACGCUGAGACGCGAAAGCGUGGGGAGCGAACAGG
rnacentral:rRNA from 1 species